rnacentral:rRNA from 1 species
CCAAACCCCUGUGAACAUACCUUUACUGUUGCCUCGGCGGAUCAGCCCGCGCCCGGUAAAACGGGACGGCCCGCCAGAGGACCCCUAAACUCUGUUUUUAUUGUAACUUCUGAGUAAAACCAUAAAUAAAUCAAAACUUUCAACAACGGAUCUCUUGGUUCUGGCAUCGAUGAAGAACGCAGCAAAAUGCGAUAAGUAAUGUGAAUUGCAGAAUUCAGUGAAUCAUCGAAUCUUUGAACGCACAUUGCGCCCGCCAGUAUUCUGGCGGGCAUGCCUGUUCGAGCGUCAUUUCAACCCUCAAGCCCUCGGGUUUGGUGUUGGGGAUCGGCGAGCCUCUCUGGCAAGCCGGCCCCGAAAUCUAGUGGCGGUCUCACUGCAGCCUCCAUUGCGUAGUAGCUAACACCUCGCAACUGGAACGCGGUGCGGCCAAGCCGUUAAACCCCCCAACUUCUGAAUGUUGACCUCGGAUCAG